rnacentral:rRNA from 1 species
UACGGAGGGUGCAAGCGUUGUCCGGAUUUAUUGGGUUUAAAGGGUGCGUAGGCGGCCUUUUAAGUCAGUGGUGAAAGCCCAUAGCUCAACUUUGGAACUGCCAUUGAUACUGAAAGGCUUGAGUACAGACGAGGUUGGCGGAAUGGAUGGUGUAGCGGUGAAAUGCAUAGAUACCAUCCAGAACUCCGAUUGCGUAGGCAGCUAACUAGGCUGUAACUGACGCUGAGGCACGAAAGCGUGGGGAGCAAACAGG